AGCAAUGUCAUAAUAAUCCGCUUCGUAUGGCGCCAUGCUACAGCUGGCGCGCCAUAAUUAUAUUUACCUGUGCUUAGUCAUCGAUCUGUUUCUCUGGUUGGAAAAACUGUUUUCAGUUUUGUGAUGAAGCAACAUUUACUGCAGCCGAGAGUAGUCACGGUUUAACACAUGGCCCAGACUCAGCAAAGUAUUCUACUGUUAUGGUCACCGUGAGAGUUGCAGAGCUACUGAGAACACCUAUAUCGAAAUAAAUUCGGGA